GAUGAACGCUGGCGGCGUGCCUAAUACAUGCAAGUCGAACGGAGGUCGCAAGGCCUCAGUGGCGAACGGGUGAGUAACGCGUUGGUGACCUGCCCCGGAGAGAGGGAUAACAGAUCGAAAGGUCUGCUAAUACCGCAUGAAAUGCCUGGAGUUAGAGACUGGGCAUCAAAGGAGAAAUCCGCUCUGGGAGGGGCCUGCGUCCCAUCAGCUAGUUGGUGAGGUAAAAGCCCACCAAGGCGAUGACGGGUAGGGGACCUGAGAGGGUGGCCCCCC
rnacentral:rRNA from 1 species